CCUACGGGAGGCAGCAGUGAGGAAUAUUGGUCAAUGGGCGGGAGCCUGAACCAGCCAAGUCGCGUGAGGGAAGACGGUCCUAUGGAUUGUAAACCUCUUUAGGCGGGGAGCAAUGCCGGGCACGCGUGCCCGGAGGGAGAGUACCCGCAGAAUAAGCAUCGGCUAACUCCGUGCCAGCCGCCGCGGUAAUACGGAGGAUGCGAGCGUUAUCCGGAUUUAUUGGGUUUAAGGGGUGCGUAGGCGGAUUUUUCAGUCAGCGGUAAAAUGUCCGGGCUCAACCCGGGCCGGCCGUUGAAACUGGGGAUCUUGAGUGGGCGAGAAGUAUGCGGAAUGCGUGGUGUAGCGGUGAAAUGCAUAGAUAUCACGCAGAACUCCGAUUGCGAAGGCAGCAUACCGGCGCCCGACUGACGCUGAGGCACGAAAGCGUGGGGAUCGAACAGGAUUAGAUACCCUGGUAGUC
rnacentral:rRNA from 1 species